AACGAACGCUGGCGGCAUGCCUAACACAUGCAAGUCGAACGAAGUCUUCGGACUUAGUGGCGCACGGGUGCGUAACGCGUGGGAAUCUGCCCUUGGGUACGGAAUAACUCAGAGAAAUUUGUGCUAAUACCGUAUAAUGUCUUCGGACCAAAGAUUUAUCGCCCAAGGAUGAGCCCGCGUAAGAUUAGCUAGUUGGUGGGGUAAAAGCCUACCAAGGCGACGAUCUUUAGCUGGUCUGAGAGGAUGAUCAGCCACACUGGGACUGAGACACGGCCCAGACUCCUACGGGAGGCAGCAGUGGGGAAUAUUGGACAAUGGGCGAAAGCCUGAUCCAGCAAUGCCGCGUGAGUGAUGAAGGCCUUAGGGUUGUAAAGCUCUUUUACCAGGGAUGAUAAUGACAGUACCUGGAGAAUAAGCUCCGGCUAACUUCGUGCCAGCCGCCGCAGUAACAC
rnacentral:rRNA from 1 species